GAUUUCUGGCAAAUUCGGAUGGCCCGGCUCCUUCUGGGGCUGCGUGCUGUCUCUGAGUCUGCCAUCCUUCCAGAGAGCUGUGCCUACCGCUUCUGCGGCCGGGCGCUGUGAUCUGGAUCUUUUACUUUGAAAAAAUUAGAGUGUUUAAAGCAGGCUUUUGCUAUGAAUACAUUAGCAUGGAAUAAUAAUCUAGGACUUCGGUUCUAUUUUGUUGGUUUCUAUAACUGAAGUAAUGAUUGAUAGGGAUAGUUGGGGGUGCUAGUAUUGGCCGGCCAGAGGUGAAAUUCUUGGAUUCGGUCAAGACUAACUUAUGCGAAAGCAUU
rnacentral:rRNA from 1 species